rnacentral:lncRNA from 1 species
CGAGAGCUGUGAGAGAGAUGAGCUAGAGAAGGAGGGAGAACGAGAGAGAGAAAAGCUGCAGAGAGAGUUUCGAGAACCAGAGAGCUUAGAGGAGGUAGGGGUGCUUUGGCUGCUGUUUUGGGGGCUGGUGAUAGAGUAGCAGAGAGCUUGGAGAGUAGAGAGGAUUUUUUUUUGGAGGGGGAAGCUGUUACAGGGAGAGGAAGGCUGUUACAGAGUGAGGGGCGUCUGGGCUUGCUGUUUUUUUUAGAGAGAUAUUUUUUUCGGCUGUGAGGGAGGUUUGAGGUAGAAACAGAGAGGUGAUCUUCAAGCUACAGAGAGAGAGAGAGGUAUUUUCUGGAGGAGAUAUUUUUGAGGAGCUUUUGGGCUGGAUAGGCAAGUGAAGCUGAUGAGGGGAUUCUUUCAGAAAAGGUUUUGAGUUGGGCGUCUUCCAGAAAGGUGAUAAAAAAUAGAGUUUGAAGUCAGGCGAGCUUUCACUUGUGAGGGGGCUUUCCAGGUAUGGACUCUGCUCAUCAUCUUCUCCAUCUUGUUUUGGAUAUCAUUGAGCUUCCAUCUUGGUGUUUGAAUGUGUUUGCUAUGGAUUUCACUUGACUCAGCUUUGAAUUCUAACCUGUUUUGUGUCCUUUGUUUUGAGAUCUCUUAUGAGAUGUUGGCAUUCUCACAUUUGUUUUUGUUUUAAAACUCAUUUGAAAAAUCGUUUUGACCCCCUCCAUCAUCUGAGCUCAUUGAUUGAUAUGUGAAAUGAAGCUUGUAUGGAUUCAUUUGGUCCCCAUUGUUUGUGUUUUUCUUUGGUCAUCUUCCACUGUACCUGGUCCUCAUCCAUGGCAUGCACCUGAUUCAUCAUCUCCACGUUAAGAAGAUAUAUGAGAGCUGUCAGUGGGUCAUGCCGGGUCUAUUCUACCUCAGUGUGCUCUUAUUGGUUCAGAAUCACCAGUUUCUGGUUCGUUUAAUGGCCUCAGAAUGGCCACAGUAUUAAAUUGCAUCAUUGUGGUAUGGGAUGGCAAUGGAGAACUAAAAACAGAAGGAUUAUGGCGUUUUCAAUGCAUUGGAGGUCACGCGGAAUGAAAAUUUCCACAAAGAAUUGAAAGUUGGACCAGAGAAAGUGACAGAUGCCUCCAUCAUUGGCUCCUAUUGAUGCCGUGGAAAGGGUAUCCCUAGUACUGGGGGAGAUUGAUGCAAAUGCUGUAAUGUUUGGCCAACAAAUUAAUACCCAUUUGUCCUCAUUCAUGCAGGGUCAUCCAUGCAGGGUCAUCCAUGCAUAUCCAUCAAUUCCAUACCCAUCCAUCAUCACGCCCACCUUUCCACAUCCAUGUCAUACCCCUCGUGUCCACGCUGAUAUUCACCCCUUUUAGCCGCACCACCUUUUCUCUCACUAACCUCUACAUACCCAUUAAGCCACUCCACUAAACCCAUUUCACUCAACCCCAUACCAUCAUACCCGUCCCGUGAUCACAUCACCCAUCUCAUACCCAUUCCUCCCUCUAAAGCCAUACACUCAUCCCACUACCUUUUCUCUCUCUAUACCACCCUACACCCACGGCUGUAGCUCACCCCAUAUCUCCCGUCCCAUGCAUGCACCCAUGGCCAAUCUGUGCUACAUGAAUUCACGGCCAUCAAACCCAUUGCUCUCAUACCUAUAUUACCCACGUUUCUUACCUUCUCUCUCUACCCGGGGCCGCACUUCAUCCAUGACAUCCCGUGCCCUUCAUGUUCAUAUCCACCCCUCAUUCUCUGUAUUACCCACUUGUUGCCCAUUCUCUCUCUCACAUGCAUGAAGCCCUACCAUCCUACCAAAUAGCAGAGGAAGCCACAAACACUGUGAAAUCAACAGCCAAGAGCGCGCCUUCAAGGGUGAUACGUGGCGGCAGCUUGAUAACGAAGUAACUGACCUAGAAGACUUAGAAGGUCUCGGUUUCAUGCUGUUUUUGCGAGACAUACAGCCAUGGUAAUGGGAAGCGGAGCAGGCCAAGAAGAGGAGAAAAUUGAAGAAGGGUUUUGGGCAUGAAUCCUAAACUAGGAGCCACAAGGAAUAUGUCAAUAUCUGGGAGGAAAUAGAAGAAUCAUGUUCUGUUACCUCAUGAUAAGGGCCACUACUUAGAUUGAAAGCAAAGUUGAAGAUCUCUGAACGUGGCAAUGCGGAGAAUGAUGAGAUUAGUGAACAUGCUCUUCAAAAGGAACUGUCGCGGUGUGCUGAUGACGAAGCAGUUGGGCUUUCACAUGAGAUCUUAGCGAGCAUUGGGAUAUUGGUUGAUGGACUUACCUUGAGGUUACCAGAAAAUAGGAGAUGUCGAGGAGUCACCUCUCACCUGUGGGGAUAGGCAAAGAUGCCGCCUAUGCCAGCAGCAGCUCACUUAGUUCCUGUGGCUCUAGUUCUAGCAGUGAUGACUCCUCAUCCGAGUGAUUCUGUCAGUAUGGCUUAUGACGUGUAUCCAAUCCCAACAGUGAAUCCCUCUGAAGUGUCUUCCAAUGGAUCAGACGCUCCAUCUGUGGUCAUGGUCCUUUCAUAUGAACAUGACACCAAUCACGGUUCGCAAGCUGAACAACCUGAGUUCGGGUCCAUCGGAACUGCAGGUUUCUCAAGUAUGAACAAACAAGCUCUGCUGAAUGAGGGAGCAGAUGCGCAUGAGGGUUUUCCUCUGCUUUCUCCAUGCAUUCAGCUCUGAACCAGUUGGAAGCACUCCUCUCAGUUUAGCUAUCAAGCCUGCAGCACUAGAAGAAGUUAUUGAUGACCAUGCAUGACCAUGUUGACGAGUGCAUGGCCUCCUUGGACAUUCCAUUUUCUGAGCCUACAAGUGCAUGAGUUCUUCAACACUCCCAAACUGGUUAAGGGUGUUUUGUAUGAAAAUCUGGUAAUUUUGUAUGGAGCCUUGACUUUUGGCAGCAAUUGUCACUGCCUCCACCCCUUCUGCAUUUGGUUCAUCAAGCAAUGAGGAGCAUUUUUUUUAACUAAGCUGUAAAUGACGAGGAGGUGUCUUUAAUCAUUCAAUUUCAAGGACGUCCAGUUCCUUGAAAAAUCAUUAAUUCUCGUGGGUCCCUCAUCCAAGGACACUAUUGCUCUUUGUAUUACUAAUGGUGCACUUGUAGUGGUGGAUUGUGUUUGAGGGUGUUUGCGCCCAGACUGAAACUAUUCUACAGCAGGCCUAGGUGAAAGGAUCCACCUUGUUUUAACUAUCUAUAGGAUAGAUAAACGCUUUCUUGAGCUUCAGGUCAGUGGAGAAGGGGUGGACUUUUAGGUUUCAUGCAAAGAGGACUUGGAAGAUCCAGGGAUAGUCAAUCCAUAGGCAAGGCAAUAAUGCAGGCAGCCCAGAACUGUCAGAAGGAAAACUAAGUGAUCAUUUUCCACUCGUCAUAUGGUAAGCUGGCAGUGGCACUCCAAGUAACGUGAACGCCAAUGAGGCUAUUGCCAAUAGAGCAGUUGAGAUUCUUGGAGCAUUAUGUCUUUGAUUGAUCGGAAAAGAGAAGUCAAAAAGGAAUACAGAAAAUAUGAAAAGACGUGGGAACAAGAAGAGAGGGUUUUCAUGAAUCCAGUGAGUGACUGACACGACAAGGAUUCUAGCGCGAAAGUGGAGCAGCCAUGGUAUGCUGGGCUACUCACCAGUAAUGAUAGAGAAAUUCUCUUGGGGUAUAUAAAUCGAUGAAAGGAUGUCAGAUAUUGUCAUGUCUGCAGCCGCGUGGAUGAAUUGCGCUCCAGGACUGUUGUUAUAAUCUACAAAUACCAUGUAAGAGGGGGAACUAUCCUCCUUCUUUGUUACAAGGUGGCCUGCAUGUGGAUAGAAAUGGUCGAGUGUGAGAGCGAGGGAACCCUUGAGCCUGUCUAAGAGAGUUGCCAUGAAGUUUUGUGGAUCAUCCACAUCAGGUGGUUUGCUAAAGAGAAGGCCCUUUCGGAUAUAAUUGACGAAGAGCAUGGCCAGGUCCCAUGGUAUCAGGUAACAGGGCUCCUUGGUCUCUUCUGAAGUGAACUUUGGUUUAAUAAAUCAUUCUGAGAUGAGCCGCAACAGUCGGAGUUGCCAUUAGACCACUAGGGAGUUUCCUCUAUUCAGGGAAGCCAAGAGCUUAUCUUUAGCUUCUCCCACUCAUUCUUAAUGGGUGAAUCUGGCUAUAGCUGCAGAUGAGCAGGAUUGGCCAUUGCAUUCUUCAAUGAAAAUAAUUCGUCAUUGGCUCGGGCCUUGCUGAGCUAAUGCAAGAAUCAAACCAAGAAGUGCCUGCUUGGCUUUCAUGUUAUGCAACUCGGUCUUCUUAUGGCGGAGGUAGAAGUAACGGUGAGUAUGGAACUUCUGGCAGCAGUUAUGGUGGUGAAGAAUAUGACUGCAGGAUUGACUACAGGGAAGAAAAGCUACAGGAGACCAUACUUCCUAUAUUGGCCACCUAUGCAUGGCUCAUUUUUGGGCCACGUGCUUUCUCAUAUCAUUCCCUCUUCUUUGAUUUUGAAAAUAAAUUUCCUGAAUUCCACUUUGUGAAUAGUUGGACAAAUUCUGAUUUUUCAAAUAAUUCCAAUUUUCCCCUCUUUCAUCCUUAGAAUUUUUAGGAUCACCCGAGAAUCCCAUUUUUAUGUAAAAUUUGGUUGCCAUUUUCUUUCCGGUAAGCCACUUUUGCAUUUUCUUUGUUUUUAAAAUGUUUUAAAAAUAAGCAAGAAUUAAAUUCCGUAAUUCCGAGUGAUGGAAUUUAUGGAAUUAAUUCAUGCAAAAAUAAACGGGCUUUGGUGGGGGCCCGACAUAUGUGACUUCAUGAUUGAUUGACUGAUUGAUUGAUUUGACUGCCAUGCAUAAUUGAUUUAUUCUGAUCUAUGACAUGCAUGAGAUUAUUUCUUAACUGUGCUCUAACCCUAUUUCUUGAUAGUGCAUGGCGGCUCGUCACCUAGGUACGUGUCCACUCCCAUUCUUGUAAUUCUCUAUGCAUGUACUGAUUCUCAUAUGUGCGAUCAUGCUGAGUAUUCAUUGAUUUCCUCAUCAUUGCCACGUCGGCUUCAUUCUAUUAGUAGAGACCCGACAUUAGGGACUUAGAGGGGUGCUACGGUCCGUAUCGUACCUUCCCGAUAAGUAACCUGACCCCCGAACCUGAUCCGGUUUUCCACAGACCGCCUUUUCCAAAAUAAGGAGUCACACUUAGGGUUUUUCUUUCUUAUUUUGUUUACCCUUUAAAAAUAAAACAAAAAUAAGUGGCGACUCCAAGUCAUUUCUUUUUAAUAAAUAAAAAUCAUUUUCAAAUAAAAAUUGAGUUUCGCCAUCGAGUGGGAAACGCAUUCGAGCGAAUCGAAAUGCGGGGUCCACACCUUUACUUAACUAUUAUAUUGCUUAUUAUUACUUAUCAUUUUGUUUUGAGUUGAAUAUCUUUUUGUUUUUAUGUUUCCAUUUUUUAAUAAUAUUUUAUCUAAUAAUAUAUUUUAAUAAUAAAUUAUUAUAAAUAUAUAAAUUGUAAAAUUAAUUGAUUUUAUGUUUAUUAUUAUCUAUAUAAUAUUUAUAGAAGUAUAAACUGUGUUUAUCAUGUCAUAUUGAUUAAAAAAAUAUUUUGGUCUUUCUUCGAAUCUUAUCUUUCAAUUAAUUUAAUUAAUUAUUAUACAAAUAUAAUUAUAUUUUAUUUUAUCUUUUCUACUAUAAAUAAUAAAUAUUUUAAUUUUAAAAUUUAAUUUAUUAUUAUUUUUUCUUUCACCUCCACAUUACUUCAUAAUAUUAUUUUCAUAAUUUAAAACUCAGUGAAUUUUAUUUGCACUAGAUUUUUGCAGUCUUAUAAAAUCCGUUAUUGCUGCUACAACUUCAUCUAAUGGUGAGUAGAAGUUGUAGGAUGAUCAGAGUUGGGUGAAGCGAAGGUAUGAC